rnacentral:rRNA from 1 species
GAUGAACGCUGGCGGCGUGCUUAAUACAUGCAAGUCGAGCGAACAGACGCGGAUCUUGCUCCUCUGACGUUACCGGCGGACGGGUGAGUAAUACGUGGAUUACCUACCUCUCUGGCUGGGAUCACUUCAGGAAACCGGAGUUAAUACCAGAUAAUCUUUCCAACCGCAUGGUUUAAUAGUGAAAGAUGGUUUUUCUGUCACCUAUAGAUGUAUCCGCGCCGCAUUAGGUAGUUGGUACGGUAACGGCUUACCAAGGAAGCGAAGCGUAGCCGACCGGAGCGAGUGGUCGGCCACACUAGAGCUUGAACGCGGUCCAGACGCCUGCGGGAGGCAGCAGUAGGGUAUCUGCCGCAGUAGGCGAAAACCUUGCAGAACGGCGCCGCGUGAGAGAUAACGAUCUUCGGAGCGUGAAGCUCUGUUAUUAGGGAAAAACAAAUGUGUGAAUAACUGAACACAUCUUGACGGUACCUGAACAGAAAGCCACGGCUAACUACGUG